AGUGAACGCUGGCGGUAGGCCUAACACAUGCAAGUCGAACGGCAGCACAGUAAGAGCUUGCUCUUACGGGUGGCGAGUGGCGGACGGGUGAGGAAUACAUCGGAAUCUACUUUUUCGUGGGGGAUAACGUAGGGAAACUUACGCUAAUACCGCAUAUGACCUACGGGUGAAAGCAGUGGAUCUUCGGACCUUGCGCGAUUGAAUGAGCUGAUGUCGGAUUAGCUAGUUGGCGGGGUAAAGGCCCACCAAGGCGACGAUCCGUAGCUGGUCUGAGAGGAUGAUCAGCCACACUGGAACUGAGACACGGUCCAGACUCCUACGGGAGGCAGCAGUGGGGAAUAUUGGACAAUGGGCGCAAGCCUGAUCCAGCCAUACCGCGUGGGUGAAGAAGGCCUUCGGGUUGUAAAGCCCUUUUGUUGGGAAAGAAAAGCAGCAGGUGAAUACCCCGCUGUUCUGACGGUACCCAAAGAAUAAGCACCGGCUAACUUCGUG
rnacentral:rRNA from 1 species